rnacentral:rRNA from 1 species
UACGUAGGGUGCGAGCGUUAAUCGGAAUUACUGGGCGUAAAGUGUGCGCAGGCGGCAGAGCAAGUCGAGUGUGAAAGCCCCGGGCUUAACUUGGGAAUUGCGCUCGAAACUACUUUGCUGGAGUGUGGCAGAGGAAGGUGGAAUUCCCAGUGUAGCGGUGAAAUGCGUAGAUAUUGGGAAGAACACCAGCGGCGAAAGCGCGCUACUGGGCCAUUACUGACACUCAUGGACGAAAGCUAGGGGAGCGAAAGGG